rnacentral:rRNA from 1 species
UACGGGAGGCAGCAGUGGGGAAUAUUGCACAAUGGGGGAAACCCUGAUGCAGCGACGCCGCGUGGAGGAAGAAGGUCUUCGGAUUGUAAACUCCUGUUGUUGAGGAAGAUAAUGACGGUACUCAACAAGGAAGUGACGGCUAACUACGUGCCAGCAGCCGCGGUAAAACGUAGGUCACAAGCGUUGUCCGGAAUUACUGGGUGUAAAGGGAGCGCAGGCGGGAAGGCAAGUUGGAAGUGAAAUCCAUGGGCUCAACCCAUGAACUGCUUUCAAAACUGUUUUUCUUGAGUAGUGCAGAGGUAGGCGGAAUUCCCGGUGUAGCGGUGGAAUGCGUAGAUAUCGGGAGGAACACCAGUGGCGAAGGCGGCCUACUGGGCACCAACUGACGCUGAGGCUCGAAAGUGUGGGUAGCAAACAGGAUUAGAUACCCUGGUAGUCCACACUGUAAACGAUGAUUACUAGGUGUUGGAGGAUUGACCCCUUCAGUGCCGCAGUUAACACAAUAAGUAAUCCACCUGGGGAGUACGACCGCAAGGUUGAAACUCAAAGGAAAUUGACGG